AGGACGCUUGUCUCUCAGAGGACUAUUCCCUAGCUGGGGGCUGAUUUCCUCUUCCAUUCCAGAACCUAACGGCCGCUUUUUUCAAAGUGAUUAACGUGAGUCGUUUGUUCGACGUGCCUCAUGUUCGUUACUGGGGGCGGGGAACGGAACACAACAAGAAAAAAGCCUGCCCUCCAAAAUUGUCCUCAUUCUUGGUGUCUACCAGGAUCAAGCUGAGAUACUGGAAACUUCCUGGCCCCACUCCCAGAAGAAAGGUUCCAACCCCAAAAUGUACGUACUCAUCUGAAACCUGUGUCAUUGCCGCCUUCACUGCCCUACUAUCACUGGCACAGCAGAGUGGCCGAGGUCCUGAAAAACUCCGAGGAGCAACUCAGCAUAUCUCUGGUCGUUGACAGGCUUCAAGCUUCAAAACUGAAAACAUCUCAGCCCUGCUCACAGAAGACUUUUGCCAGCCCUGAAAGAAAACUUUCACUACGAUGGACUUGGAGAGCAUAAUCGCUAAGAUAACGUGUUGGUACUGGCAAGUCUACUGGAGCGGUUUCUCUAGGAAGAUGCCACAACAUUCUGUCAUGUGCGAUAAAGCAAGUUACUAUCAGCGCCAAGAUGGACAUGGCGCUGGCCAAGGCAAAGCCUAUCAGUGAUGGUUGUACUGCGUCUAUGAGAACACAGUUAAGAACGGACAAAAGCUGCUAAAGAGCAGCAGCCAGGAGAGUAGAGAGAGUCUGUGCAAGAAACAAGUCUGCAGACACCAAGGUCAGUGAAGAAUGAGGGGGAGGAUGUGCUCCAGGCACAGAAGCAGAAAGUCUCCUGCAGCUUAUUGUGAAAAGUGUAGUGACACAUCUUGUCCCCCACAAUACAUGGAGGUUAAUGUUGCCGCAGAUGUCCACCUGCACCCUGUGGAAGGCUGCACACAUAAGCCGGUGCAUGCCAAAAGGAGAGUGUGACCCUGUUGGAAUCCGAUGUUGGAGCAGGCUUCUGGCAAGACCUGUGGACUUGAGAGAGGAGUGCACGCUACUGCAGGUUUGGUGGCAGCACUUGUGACCUUGUGGAGGACCACCUCAUUCCUGAAGGACUUUUUCCCAUGAGUGGCAUCCCAUGCUGGAACAGUGGAAGUCUGUGUGCAGCGAGGAGCAGCAGAGACAAUCUCUACUCAACUGACUGCUACUGAUGGCAAUGCCCCAUCCCCUGCACCACUGAGGGGGC